AACACUGGUCCGCGUCAUGUCGCAUCCAUUGUGGAGCGAACUUAAACAAGCAGUAGAUUGAUACUCGAAGAAGUAGGAAAAGAGGAAAGGGAAAUAGUGUCAUCCGGGAGAACAUAAACAAACAAAAAUUGGAUUCAAUACAGGUUUGCAAGUUUGGAAAAGAAAAAUAGUGCUUUAGUUACGAGGUGAAGAUUAAUAUCUAUACAAUAGGUUGUUUUUGUUUCGAUUAUUGUGUUACCAAAUCUGGUCGGGUGAUAACAAAACAUUCAACUGCUGUGGUACAGGGGUGACCAAACGUUAUUCGGCGACUCACAGCAUAUAAUUGAAGGCUGAGUAGAAAUUUCUGCAGGAAAUAGAAUAGACAGUAGCUCAUAAUCGUAGGAAGGAAGGGUAGCCAAGGAAAAGAAGGCAAACUAAAAUCCUUUGAUCUGCCGUUAAUAAAGGCCGAUUUUCAAAGACAGUUUGUAUCGAUUUAAUCUCAACAC